rnacentral:piRNA from 1 species
CACUGGAUCAAGAAAAGGAUGGU